UGGGGAAUAUUGCACAAUGGGCGCAAGCCUGAUGCAGCCAUGCCGCGUGUAUGAAGAAGGCCUUCGGGUUGUAAAGUACUUUCAGCGGGGAGGAAGGGAGUAAAGUUAAUACCUUUGCUCAUUGACGUUACCCGCAGAAGAAGCACCGGCUAACUCCGUGCCAGCAGCCGCGGUAAUACGGAGGGUGCAAGCGUUAAUCGGAAUUACUGGGCGUAAAGCGCACGCAGGCGGUUUGUUAAGUCAGAUGUGAAAUCCCCGGGCUCAACCUGGGAGCUGCAUCUGAUACUGGCAAGCUUUAGUCUCGUAGAGGGGGGUAGAAUUCCAGGUGUAGCGGUGAGAUGCGUAGAGAUCUGGAGGAAUACCGGUGGCGAAGGCGGCCCCCUGGGCGAAGACUGACGCUCAGGUGCGAAAGCGUGGGGAGCAAAAAGG
rnacentral:rRNA from 1 species